ACUUGAAUAAUUUAUUUAAAAUAUUAGUUUGUGGUUCUAAUUAUGCAUUUAUUUGCUUUAAGUU
rnacentral:tRNA from 1 species